rnacentral:rRNA from 1 species
GUGGGGAAUAUUGGACAAUGGGCGCAAGCCUGAUCCAGCCAUGCCGCGUGAGUGAUGAAGGCCUUCGGGUUGUAAAGCUCUUUAGUCCACGAAUAUAAUGACUGUAGUGGAAGAAUAAGCCCCGGCUAACUUCGUGCCAGCAGCCGCGGUAAUACGAAGGGGGCGAGCGUUAUUCGGAAUCACUGGGCGUAAAGCGUGCGUAGGCUGUUUUGUAAGUCAGAAGUGAAAGCCCAGGGCUUAACCCUGGAAUUGAUUUUGAAACUACAAGACUCGAAUUCGGGAGAGGAUAGCGGAAUUGUCAGUGUAGCAGUGAAAUGCGUAGAUAUUGACAGGAACACCAGUGGCGCAAGCGGCUAUCUGGACCGAUAUUGACGCUGAGGCACGAAAGCGUGGGGAGCAAACAGGAUUAGAAACCCGUGUAGUCC